GCCAGUGUAGCACAGUGGUUUGGGUAUUGGACUAUGGCUUUGGAGACCAGGGUUCAAUUCCUGUUCGGCCA